CAGUCCUCUUCCAAUUAUCUGCAAUCCAGCAGAUAAACAGAGACCAAUCAACAGUAUCCUAAGAUUAGCCAACAGGAACCCUUUUUUUCGAGCCUAGUUUGAAGGGGUGGAGGUGGCAGAAGAGGAAGAGGAAGAGGAAGAGGAAGAGGAAGAGGAAGAGGAAGAGGAAAACUUUGAAGCAAUAUGAAAGAUAAAAGAGAAUCUUAUUAUUUUCUUUAUACUUUCCCUGUAUCUAACAAGUUUAAAUUUGGAAAAAAAAAAAAA
rnacentral:lncRNA from 1 species